rnacentral:rRNA from 1 species
CCAGACUCCUACGGGAGGCAGCAGUGAGGAAUAUUGGUCAAUGGGCGAGAGCCUGAACCAGCCAAGUCGCGUGAAGGAUGACGGCCCUACGGGUUGUAAACUUCUUUUGUCAGGGAGCAAUUGGGUCCACGCGUGGGCUUAGCGAGAGUACCUGAAGAAAAAGCAUCGGCUAACUCCGUGCCAGCAGCCGCGGUAAUACGUAGGGGGCAAGCGUUAUCCGGAUUUACUGGGUGUAAAGGGAGCGUAGACGGAAUAGCAAGUCUGAUGUGAAAACCCGGGGCUCAACUCCGGGAGUGCAUUGGAAACUGUUGAUCUAGAGUGUCGGAGAGGCAAGCGGAAUUCCUAGUGUAGCGGUGAAAUGCGUAGAUAUUAGGAGGAACACCAGUGGCGAAGGCGGCUUGCUGGACGAUGACUGACGUUGAGGCUCGAAAGCGUGGGGAGCAAACAGGAUUAGAUACCCCGGUA